GAUGAACGCUGGCGGCGUGCUUAACACAUGCAAGUCGAACGAUUAAGGCGGCUUCGGCCGCGUAUAGAGUGGCGAACGGGUGAGUAACACGUGACCAACCUGCCCCGCGCUCCGGGACAACCGCUGGAAACGGCGGCUAAUACCGGAUGCUCCGGGGAGGCCCCAUGGCCUCCCCGGGAAAGCCCCGACGGCGCGGGAUGGGGUCGCGGCCCAUUAGGUAGACGGCGGGGUAACGGCCCACCGUGCCCGCGAUGGGUAGCCGGACUGAGAGGUCGACCGGCCACAUUGGGACUGAGAUACGGCCCAGACUCCUACGGGAGGCAACAGUGGGGAAUUUUGCGCAAUGGGGGAAACCCUGACGCAGCAACGCCGCGUGCGGGACGAAGGCCUUCGGGUUGUAAACCGCUUUCAGCAGGGAAGACAUAGACGGUAC
rnacentral:rRNA from 1 species